CAGCCGUAUCACAUUGAAUCACCGGUUCUCAUUAUGAUCACCGAAGAUAAGCAAUGUUGAGCCUGGUCAGUAGUGAGAGGGGUGACUGCUUGGGAGUAAAAUAUGCUGUCUG